rnacentral:lncRNA from 1 species
GUGGUGGCUUUCAUGCGCGUCCGUGUGAAGAGACCACCAAACAGGCUUUGUGUGAGCAAUAAAGCUGUUUAUUUCACCUGGGUGCAGGUGGGCUGAGUCCGAAAAGAGUCAGCGAAGGGAGAUAGGGGUGGGGCUGUUUUAUAGUAUUUGGGAAGGUAAUGGAAAAUUACAGUCAAAGGGCGGGCAGGAGUGGGGGGUCGCAAGGUGCUCAGUGGGGGUGCUUCUGAGCCAGGAGAAGGAAAUUUGCAGGGUUAAUCACUCAGUUAAGGUGGGGCAGGAACAAAUCACAAUGGUGGAAUGUCAUCAGUUAAGGCGGGGCAGGGCCUUUUCACUUCUUUUGUGAUUCUUCAGUUACUUCAGGCCAUCUGGGUGUAUAUGUGCAAGGCACAGGGGAUGCGAUGGCUUGGCUUGGGCUCAGAGGCCUGACAGUGGCACACGCCUGUAAUCCCAGCUACUUGGGAGCCUGAGGCAGGAGAAUCACUUGAACCCAGGAGGUGCAGGGUGCAGUGAGCCGAGAUCGCCCCACUGCACUCCAGCCUGGGCAACAGAGACUCCAUCUCAAAAAAACAAAAAAAAAAGCACAGGUCCCCUCCCUCAGUCCUGCAGACUUCCUCAAGCUGGGAAGGACCAAGGAUUUUGGGAAAUAACUCCACCGGCUUACAGACAGUGCACCCCAGGACAAAGAGUCAUGGUGUAAAUUUUAAUUAUCCUUUGUAGAGGCUUCAAAAAAAAAAAAAUCUAGAGUGCAGAGGUUCAGUCUGGUCCACACAGUUCUGAAUGCCUUUUAAUUAUCAUCACACACACCAGAGAAGGUCAUCUUAGAAUAUUUAAUCAGUUAGCACUAGAUGAAGGCUGGAGUAGGAGAGACUGGGAUAGUGGGGGGCAAUGUGGGGAUGGAGGCAGGGCGAGGGAGAUAAAGUCAAACUGGUUUUUUUUUUGUUUUUUUUUUUUUUUUUUUUUGGAGACAGAGCCUUACUCUGUCGCCCAGGCUGGAGUGCAAUGGUGUGAUCUCAGCUCACUGCAACCUCUGCCUCCUGGGUUUAAUCGAUUCUCCUGCCUCAGCCUCCCAAGUAGCUGGGAUUACAGGCACCCACCACCAUGCCCAGCUAAUUUAUUUGUAUUUUUUUAGUAGAGACAGGGUUUCACCAUGUUGGCCAGGCUGGUCUCGAACUCCUGACCUCAGGUGAUCCACCCGCCUCGGUCUCCCAAAGUGCUGGGAUUAUAGGGGUGAGCCACCGUGCCCAGCUAAGAUAUUUCAAUCUGUGAAUAACCCAUAUGGCCUGGUAACAGCAAGCACCUGGGAAUAUAUACAUAUAACCCACAUACGGACUGUCCCGUUCACUCCUCACAACCACUCUGCUAACAUACUACCAUCACCCCAUUUUAGAGAUGAGGAAACUGAGGCAGAGGUGCCUUGCCUAAGGUUUACAUAGUUCCAUUUGAGUGCCUACAUGGGAGUGCUUCAUUUGGUCCCCAAAGCUAGCCUGAGACAAGAACUUUCUUCUCCCCCCCCCGCAAGAGACAGGCUCUUCCCAUGUUGCCCAGGCUAGAAUUUAGCGGCACGAUCACAGAUCAUCACAGCCACGCACGACCUCCUUGGCUCAAGGGAUUCCUCCCACCUCAGCCUCUCACGUAGCUGGGACUACAGGUAUGCAUAACCUCGCUGGGCUCGUUACUUUGUUUUUUUUUUAGAGGCAGGAUUUCACCAUGUUGCCCAGGGUGGUCUCGUACUCCUGGAUUCAAGCAAUCCUCCUGCUUCGGCCUCCCAAAGUGUCAGGAUUACAGGCGUGAGCCACUGUGCCCAGUCUCAAACAAAAUUAAAAAUUCAGUUUCUCAGUCACACUAGCCACAUUUCAAGUGCUCAGAAACUUUAUGUGGGGCCAGGCAUGGUGGCUCAUGCCUGCAAUCCCAGCACUUUGGGAGGCCGAGGCGGGCGGAUCACGAGGUCAGGAGUUCGAGACCAGCCUAACCAACAUGGUGAAACCCUGUCUCUACUAAAAAAAUACAAAAAUUAGCCGGGCGUGGUGGUGUGCGCCUGUAAUCUCAGCUACUUGGGAGGUUGAGGCGGGAGCAUUGCUUGAACCCGGGAGGCGGAGGAUGUGGUGAGCCGACGUCGUGCCAUUGCACUCCAGCCUGGGCAAUAAGAGCGAAACUCCGUCUCAAAAAAAAAAAACAAAGGUUUAUGUGGCCACUGGCUACUGUACUGGACAGUACAGACCUAGAACAUGAACCAAACAUCACAGAAAGUUCCAGUGGAGAACACUGCUACAUAUCUGCCUGUUUUAGUUAGAAGCCAACAUUUUAUUUUUAUUUUAUUUUAUUUUUUGAGAUGGAGUUUCGCUGCUGUUGCCCAGGCUGGAGUGCAAUGGUGCGAUCUCGGCUCACCACAACCUCCGCCUCCCAGGUUCAAGCAAUUCUCCUGCCUCAGCCUCCUGAGUAGCUGGGAUCACAGGCAUGCUCCACCACGCCCAGCUAAUUUUGUAUUUUUAGUAGAGAUGGGGUUUCU